GGUCUCGUAGCUCAGCUGGUAGUGUGCGCCGUACAAAAGCGUAGGCGGCCUCCAUACGGGGGUUCGAAUCCCACCGAGGCUA
rnacentral:tRNA from 1 species